CAGAGCAAGACCCUAUCUCUUAUUAAAAAAAGAAAAAAUAAAUGCCACCCUGAAGUCAUGUAAAUAUUCAUCUAUAUAUUAUUAUCCAUUUUCUGCUGCUAUAACAGAAUACCACAGACUGAGUAAUUUACAAAGAACAGAAGUUUAUUUGCCUCAUGGUUCUGGAUACCGAGAAGUCCAAGAACAUGGUGCUGGCAUCUGGCGAGGGUCAUACCACGGCAGAGGACUGUUUGUCAGAGCUGAAAGAGCUGCUUUUAUCAAGACCCUAUUUAGCACAGAUGCGGGGCAGUGAAGAGGUGAAGGGGCUGGAGUCUGAGUGGCCGAAGUCAGUAAGUUAAUUAUGCAGGUGCUGCGUGUCUGCGUGACUGACCGCCAAUAAAAACUCUGAACACCAAAGCUUGGGUGAGCUUCCUUGGUUGGCAAUACUUUGUACAUGUUGCCACAUGUGGGUGGGAGAAUUAAACAUGCCCAUGCUACCCCACUGGGAGAGGACACCUGGAAGCCUGUACCUAGUUUCUCCUGGAUUUUAUCUCAUGCACCUUUCCCUUUGCUAACUCUA